GAAGCCCAUUGGUAGGUGCUAAAUGGAAUUUUCACCAGCCCCUCCGGGAUGUUAAUCAGGUGAGAACUACAGGGAUGCAGUAAUUUACACUAGUCCACAAGAUCAUAAGUGGCAAGGCCAGGACCAGGCCCAGUUCCAUUUGUUUCUUGAAUAUAAGCCCUCUCUGACAUCACUGGGCUGCUGAGCCUGCAGAUUCCAGACGAAGGAGACAAAAUGGUUGACUAUCUCCUGAACAAGACGCUGAGGUGGAGUCUGGGGAGAGAAGUACUUCAUAAAAACCAAUAUGGGUGAAGUUAAGAGGGAAGAAGUGGCAUUGGACAGAGGGAAAGCCAUAUAGCCAUACAGGACAAACCCAAAGUUGGUGGGGAAAUCUGCAGCUGGUGUUACCUGUUGGAACUGUCCCAUGGCAGCAUCCAUACAGUGCUGUGAAUUAUGCCUCUACAUUGUUCAUUCACUAGAUGAGGCCUGCGCAGGAAAGGUGAAAAUAAGCCUCUGAAGGAGCUGACAGCUGAAGGCCAGGCCUGUGUCAUGACCCAUACAAGAAAUGUACAUGGAAUAUGUUCCAAGAAAGCGCAAGAGUACUGCAACAUUUUUCUUGGCAAAAUGCGAUGAGCUCCCGGUUUGACAAAUUCUGAAGCUGAGGACUACCAAGGGGCAUGGAGCUGGGCAGAGGUAAACAUUCUAAAGUGGUUGACCAGAGAGGUGACAUGUGAAAAAAAAUCCAGUGCAGGGAAGCACACCAGGGAAAGAAGAGAACAGAAGGAAGACAUAGACACAUGCUUGGAGUGUUUGAGGAACAGGAGAGAGAUCUUGGAGGACACAGGG